UACGAAGGGGGCGAGCGUUGUUCGGAAUCACUGGGCGUAAAGGGCGCGUAGGCGGCCCUUCUUGUCGCGUGUGAAAGCCCCGGGCUCAACCUGGGAACGGCGCGCGAGACGGGAGGGCUGGAGUUCGGGAGAGGAGCGUGGAAUUCCCAGUGUAGAGGUGAAAUUCGUAGAUAUUGGGAGGAACACCAGUGGCGAAGGCGGCUCACUGGACCGGAACUGACGCUGAGGCGCGAAAGCGUGGGGAGCAAACGGG
rnacentral:rRNA from 1 species